AGUAAAAAAAACAAGGAGUUCAUUUCCUUACGUUACAGUACGAGAUAAUUUAUUUUAACUGCGAACAGCUUUGAUUGUACCACAAUUUUUUUAAAAACUAUAUUAACUAUUUUAAAGAUGUUUUAUUCAUAUUGAGACUUUUGAAUAAUAAAAAUUUACAUUAAUUUAAUAGAUUCAGACGUAAAUCUGAUUUAACUGAGAUGAAUUAAUGGAUGGAGUGUUUGUAUCUUACGAUCGCUGAAAUGAGCGCUGCCGGAUAUUACGGAACGGCCGGAGCAAUUUAAUCGCUUCUAGAACAUACCAUCUCAGAUAUAAAUUGUCAAUCUCCUCUACUUAUACGCCAUUCGAAAAGUGUUUUAUAUAUGAUUGAGGAUUCAUAAUUUUGUUAUAGAGUAGCCAAGGCUUAUUCUGUUCUAUAGUAAAGCGAAGACUCGACUCAAUUCAAUUUGCGGUAUACGACAAAUAUUUGUAAAGCAUACAGCUACGGGGAGAAGACACAAAUUAGACGUGAAAUAACUUUUCUAGUUUAACGAAUUUUGAAAUGAAUACUUUUUGUUAAUAAAAAUAAAUGAACAAAUUAAUUUCAAAUAAAAUUCUUAGAAUAAUACAGCAAGGAAGUGAGCUUUCAGACGAGAGUCCUUCGAUUAAAUAAACAAUGGCUACCGUCUCGAUUGAUGUGAUUCAAAGGAAGAACAGCGAGCGGACUGAAGUUUAAUUAUUUAAAAAUGAUAAAUUAUGUCUUUACGUUUUAGGUUAUUAAUGUCAUCUUAAAGACAAAUGAAUAAUUUGAGUGUCGAAACUGAGUACAAAUAUGAUGGGUUUAAUCUACAUAUAUUGAAUUU